AUUGAACGCUGGCGGCAGGCCUAACACAUGCAAGUCGAGCGGAUGAAGGGAGCUUGCUCCUGGAUUCAGCGGCGGACGGGUGAGUAAUGCCUAGGAAUCUGCCUGGUAGUGGGGGAUAACGUCCGGAAACGGGCGCUAAUACCGCAUACGUCCUGAGGGAGAAAGUGGGGGAUCUUCGGACCUCACGCUAUCAGAUGAGCCUAGGUCGGAUUAGCUAGUUGGUGGGGUAAAGGCCUACCAAGGCGACGAUCCGUAACUGGUCUGAGAGGAUGAUCUGUCACACUGGAACUGAGACACGGUCCAGACUCCUACGGGAGGCAGCAGUGGGGAAUAUUGGACAAUGGGCGAAAGCCUGAUCCAGCCAUGCCGCGUGUGUGAAGAAGGUCUUCGGAUUGUAAGGCACUUUAAGUUGGGAGGAAGGGCAGUAAGUUAAUACCUUGCUGUUUUGACGUUACCAACAGAAUAAGCACCGGCUAACUUCGUG
rnacentral:rRNA from 1 species